AUUUUGAGAAAAUUUCAAAAAAUACGAGAAUAUUGUUUUAAUGCAUAGUUGCAUCCUCCACUAACUUAUGAUGAAGUUCAAAGAGGUUUGGAACCUUUGUUGUCUCCGUUUCUCUAGGGAAUAGCAAUUUUAUAGUGGUUAGUCUAAUGAUUUAUGGAGUAUUUGCAGUUUUGCUAAAUUAAUAGAUAAAAAAUUAGAACCAUGUCCAUGUACCAUGAAAAGAAGUUUAUCAGACAUUAAUACAAAGGUAUAAUGUGGUUUUAAAUUUUAAAACAAAUUUAAAGAUUAUAGGCUUCAUAUAUAGAUUAUUUACCGAAAACUCACUAUUUUCGUAGGAGUUAACACAUAUAUUUUGAAAAAAAAUUAAAAAAAUUGAAAAUACUGUUUUAAUGCAUAUUUGAAUCAUGUAAUAAAAUAUGAUGAAGUUCAAAGAGGUUUGGUACAUUUGUUGUCUCCGUUUCUCUAGGGAAUAGCAAUUUUAUAGUUGUUAGUCUAAUGAUUUAGGGAGUAUUUGCAGUUUUGCUAAAUUAAUUGAUAAAAAAUUAGAACGAUUUCCAUGUACCAUGAAAAGGAGUUUAUCAUAAAUUAAUACAAAUGUAUAAUGUGGUUAUAAAUUUUAAAACGAAUUAAAAGAUUAUAAGCUUCAUAUAUAGAUCAUUUACCGAAAACUCACUAUUUUCGUAGGGUACGCAUAGAUUUUGAGAAAAAUUCAAAAAAUUUGACAAUACUGUUUAAUGCAUAGUUGUAUCAUGUAAUAACAUAUGAUGAAUUUAAAAGAGGUUUGGUACCUUUGUUGUUUCCGUUUCUCUAAGGAAUAGCAAUUUUAUAGUGAUUAGUCCAAUAAUUUAGGGAGUAUUUGCUGUUUUGCUAAAUUAAUGGAUAAAAAAUUAGAACGAUCUCCAAGUACCAUGAAAAGAGUUUUGCUAAAUUAAUGGAUAAAAUUUAUAGUGAUUAGUCCAAUAAUUUAGGGAGUAUUUGCAGUUUUGCUAAAUUAAUGGAUAAAAAAUUAGAACGAUGUCCAAGUACCAUGAAAAGAAGUUUAUCAUACAUUAAUAC
rnacentral:lncRNA from 1 species